GACGAACCGAGCGAACGUUGUUCGGAAUCACUGGGCUUAAAGGGCGCGUAGGCGGGCUGCCAAGUUUGGGGUGAAAUCCUCCGGCUCAACCGGGGAAGUGCCUUGAAUACUGGCGGUCUGGAGGGAGGUAGGGGCGUGCGGAACUGUAGGUGGAGCGGUGAAAUGCGUUGAUAUCUACAGGAACUCCGGUGGCGAAGGCGGCGCCCUGGCUCGCAACUGACGCUCAGACACGACAGCAUGGGGAGCGAACGGG
rnacentral:rRNA from 1 species